AUAGUGAUUCUUAUGUUUCUUUUCCUCUAUUAUUAUGUCUCCGAACACAAAGUGUCGGAGACAUAUUGUUUUUGCUCCGUUUCUUAUUAUGGUCUUCCGUCUUCAGCGGAAGACCCUUCUAUUAUUCUAUUGUUGAUUUUUCACUUUUCUUUUUAUUAUUAGGGUCUUCCGUCUUCAGCGGAAGACCCUUCUAUUAUUCUAUUGUUGAUUUUUCACUUUUCUUAUUAUUAGGGUCUUCCGUCUUCAGCGGAAGACCCUUCUAUUAUUCUAUUGUUGAUUUUUCACUUUUCUUAUUAUUAUUAUUAUUAUUCUUUUUUUUUCUCCUUACCGAUUUUUGUGCAGAAGAUUUCUCGGAGAUGGAUGGAUCAAUUUGCUUCAAAUUUUCAGGAUUUAUGCGUUGCCAUUUGAAGUUUGUACCGCCGUUUCAAUUUUUGAAAAAUCACUUCCGGUUGGAAGUUAUCCCCCUUUUAGCGAUUUUCAGAUGACCAUUUUGUCCAGACAAAAACUCAAAAACGAUAAAAGCUAGAGUGCUGAAAUUUUCAGUGAUGUUAGACGACAUGUUGUAGUUGUGCACCUGGGUUUUCAAAAUUUCCGGAAGUGCCUAGUAUGGAAGCUCGGUAGGGGUCGAAAAUGGAGUUUAAAAAAGUGUCUCAUUUUUCUCCACGUUUUAAAUCAUAACUUUUUACUCGUAAAUAUUUUGCUUAGACAUAUAUAACAAAAGUUGUACAGUUUAUUGAGAUCUUUCGUGUCAUAUCAAGAAAUGGGCCCAUAAGCCUCAUGGCUCGCCUGAACCAUUGAGUUUCUGUUACAAUGAUUAACUUUUUUCUCAAGAAACUUUUGAUAAGACAUGUAGAAUAAAAGUUGUUCAGGUUUGCAAGAUCUAUCUAAUGAUAUCAAAAAAUAGGCCUCAGGGCGUCAUGGCUCGCAUGAACAGUCGAAUUUGUAUCACAAUUAAUAACAUUAAUAACUUUUUUCUCGAGAAACUUUUGACAAGACAUGUUGAACAAAAGUUGUUCAGUUUCGCAAGGGUUAACUAACGAUGUUAAUAAAUAGGCCUGCGGGUCUCAUGGCUCACCUGAACAGUUCAAUGGGUUAUUGUUGCAAUCUAUAACAUUUUUGUCAAGAAACUUUUAAGAAGACAUCUUGAACAAAAGUUGUUCAGUUUUGCAAGAUCUUUCGAACAACAUCAUGAAAAAGGCUAACGGGCCUCAUGGCUCGCCUGAACAGUUUCAUCAGUGUCACAAUUACUAACUUUUUUCUCGAGAAUCUUUUGAUAAGACAUGCAGAACAAAAGUUGUUCAGUUUUGCAAGAUCUUUCAAACGAUACCAAGAAAAAGGCCCACGGGCCUUAUGACUCGCCUUAACAGUGAUAAAUGUCGCAUAACGUUAUACUCGUAAAUAUUUUGUUUAGACAUAUAUAACAAAAGUUGUACAGUUUAUUGAGAUCUUUCGUGCCGUAUCAAGAAAUGGGCCCAUGGGCCUCAUGGAUCGCCUGAACCAUUGAGUUUCUGUUACAAUGAUUAACUUUUUCCUCACGAAACUAUGAUAAAACAUGUAGAAUAAAAGUUGUUCAGUUUUGCAAGAUCUAUUUAAUGAUAUAAAAAAAUAGGCCUGCAGGCGUCAUGGCUCGCAUGAACAGUCGAAUUUCUAUCACAAUUAAUAACAUUAAUAACUUUUUUCUCGAGAAACUUUUGAUAAGACAUGUAGAACAAAAGUUGUUCAGAUUCGCAAGCGUUACUAACGAUGUUAAGAAUAAGGCCUGCGGGUCUCAUGGCUCACCUGAACAGUUGGGUUAUUGUUGUAAUCUAUAACAUUUUAGUCAAGAAACUUUUAAUGAGACAUCUAGAGCAAAAGUUGUUCAGUUUUGCAAGAUGUUUCAAACAACAUCAUGAAAAAGGCGAACAGGCCUUAUGGCUCGCCUGAAGAGUUUGAUUAGUGUCACAAUCAAUAGCUUUUUUCUGGAGAAACUUUUGAUAAAACAUGUAGACCAAAAGUUGUUCAGGUUUGCAAGAUCUUUCAAACGAUAUCAAGAAAAAGGCCCAUGGGCCUUAUGACUCGCCUUAACAGUCUGAUAAAUGUCGCAAUCAAUAACUUUUUUCUCAAGAAAAUUUCCAUAGGACAUGUAGAAAAAAAUUUGUUCAGUUUUGCGAGAUAUGUCUAGAAUGAUAUAUAUAAAAAAAAAAAUAGGCCUCCGGGCGGCAUGACUCACCUGAUCAGUCGAAUCUGUAUCGCAGUAAAUAAGAUUAUUAACUUUUUUCUCGAAAAAAAGCUGACCCCUUUAAUUAGUUGCCGAGAGGUAGAGAGAGUCUUUAAUUUAUAACAUUUAAAUGAUCAAUAUUUGUAAAACAUUACCAAAGCUAAAUUGUACGUCUAGACAAUAUAUUUGUAUCAUUAUUUAUGAACGAAAAUGUCAGUCAAAUUCUUAUCUAAUCACAUCUAAAUUUGGACGGAAGACCCACUCGUUGCUCGCAACGAGAUCGCAUCUAGUUAUUAUUAUUAUUCUUUUUUUUUCUCCUUACCGAUUUUUGUGCAGAAGAUUUCUCGGAGAUGGCUGGAUCGAUUUACUUCAAAUUUUUAGGGUUGAUGCGUUGCCAUUUGAAGUUUGUACCGCCGUUUCAAUUUUUCGAAAAUCACUUCCGGUUGGGAGUUAAACCCCUUUUAUCGAUUUUCAGAUGACCAUUUUGUCCAGACAAAAACUCAAAAACGAUAAAAGUUAGAGUGCUGAAAUUUUCAGUGAUGUUAGACGACAUGUUGUAGUUGUGCACCUGGGUUUUCAAAAUUUCCGGAAGUGCCUAGUAUGGAAGCUCGGUAGGGGUCGAAAAUGGAGUUUUAAAAAGUGUACAAGUUUUUUCCACGUUUUAAAUCAUAACAUUUUACUCGUAAAUAUUUUGUUUAGACAUAUAUAACAAAAGUUGUACAGUUUAUUGAGAUCUUUCGUGCCAUAUCAAGAAAUGGGCCCAUGGGCCUCAUGGCUCGCCUGAACCAUUGAAUUUCUGUUACAAUGAUUAACUUUUUUCUCACGAAACUUUUGAUAAGACAUGUAGAAUAAAAGUUGUUCAAUUUUGCAAGAUCUAUCUAAUGAUAUCUACAAAAAGGCCUCCGGGCAUCAUAGCUCGCCUGAACAGUCGAAUUUGUAACACAAUUCAUAGCAUUAAUAACUUUUUUCUCGAGAAACUUUUGACAAGACAUGUAGAACAAAAGUUGUUCAGUUUCGCAAGCGUUAACUAACGAUGUUAAGAAAUAGGCCUGCAGGUCUCAUGGCUCAUCUGAACAGUUGGGUUAUUGUUGCAAUAUAUAACAUUUUUGUCAAGAAACUUUUAAUAAGACAUCUAGAACAAAAGUUGUUCAGAUUUGCAAGAUCUUUCGAACAACAUUAUAAAAAAGGCCAACGGGCCUCAUGGCUCGCCUGAAGAGUUUGCUUAGUGUCACAAUCGAUAACUUUUUUCUGGAGAAACUUUUUAUAAGACAUGUAGAACAAAAGUUGUUCAGUUUCGCAAGUGUUAACCUAACGAUGUUAUGAAAUAGGCCUGCGAGUCUCAUGGCUCACCUGAACAGUUGGGUUAUUGUUGCAAGCUAUAACAUUUUUGUCAAGAAACUUUUAAUAAGACAUCUAGAACAAAAGUUGUUCAGUUUUGCAAGAUCUUUCGAACAACAUCAUGAAAAAGGCGAACAGGCCUCAUGGCUCGCCUGAACAGUUUGAUUAGUGUCACAAUCAAUAACUUUUUUCUCGAAAAACUUUUGAUAAGACAUGUAGAACAAAAGUUGUUCAGGUUUGCAAGAUUUUUCAAAUGAUAUCAAAAAAGAGGCCCACGGGCCUUAUGACUCGCCUUAACAGCCUGAUAAAUGUCGCAAUAAAUAACUUUUUUCUCAAGAAAAUUUUAAUAACACAUGUAGAACAAAAUUUGUUCAGUUUUGCGAGAUAUAUCUAGAAUAAUAUUUUUAAAAAAUAGGCCUCCGGGCGACAUGACUCGCCUGAUCAGUCGAAUUUGUAUCGCAGUAAAUAACAUUAUUAACUUUUUUGUCGAAAAAAAAGGCUGACCCCUUUAACUAGUGGCCGAGAACCGCAGAGAUUCUUUAAUUUAUAGCACUUAAAUGAUCAAUAUUUGUAAAACAUUACCGAAGCUAAAUUGUACGUCUAGACAAUAUAUUUGUAUCAUUAUUUAUGAACGAAAAUCCCAGUCAAAUUCUUAUCUCAUCACAUCUAAAAUUGGAUGGAAGACCCACUCGUUGCUCGCAACGAGAUCGCAUCUAGUUAUUAUUAUUAUUCUUUUUUUUUCUCCUUACCGAUUUUUGUGCAGAAGAUUUCUCGGAGAUGGCUGGAUCGAUUUGCUUCAAAUUUUCAGGAUUGAUGCGUUGCCAUUUGAAGUUUGUACCGCCAUUUCAAUUUUUGAAAAACCACUUCCGGUUGGAAGUUAUCCCCCUUUUAUCGAUUUUCAGAUGACCAUUUUGUCCAGCCAAAAACUCAAAAACGAUAAAAGCUAGAAUGCUGAAAUUUUCAGUGAUGUUAGACGACAUGUUGUAGUUGUGCACCUGGGUUUUCAAAAUUUCCGGAAGUGCCUAGUAUGGAAGCUCGGUAGGGGUCGAAAAUGGAGUUUUAAAAAGUGUCCAAUUUUUUUCCACGUUUUGAAUCAUAACUUUUUACUCGUAAAUAUUUUGUUUAGACAUAUAUAACAAAACUUGUACAGAUUAUUGAGAUCUUUCGUGCCAUAUCAAGAAAUGGGCCCAUGGGCCUGAUGGCUCGCCUGAACAAUUGAAUUUCUGUUACAAUGAUUAACUUUUUUCUGACGAAACUUUUGAUAAAACAUGUAGAAUAAAGGUUGUUCAGUUUUGCAAGUUCUAUCUAAUGAUAUCUAAAAAUAGGCCUCCGGGCGUCAUGACUCGCCUGAACAGUGGAAUUUGUAUCGUAAUUAAUAACAUUAAUAACUUUUUCCUCGAGAAACUUUUGACAAGACAUGUAGAACAAAAGUUGUUCAGUUUCGCAAGCGUUAACUAACUAUGUUAAGAAAUAGGCCUGCGGGUCUCAUGGCUCACCUGAACAGUUGGGUUAUUGUUGCAAUCUAUCACAUUUUUGUCAAGAAACUUUUAAUAAGACAUCUAUAACAAAAGUUGUUCAGAUUUGCAAGAUCUUUCGAACAACAUUAUGAAAAAGGCGAACGGGCCUCAUAGCUCGCCUGAAGAGUUUGAUUAGUGUCACAAUCAAUAACUUUUUUCUAGAGAAACUUUUGAUAAGACAUGUAGAACAAAAGUUGUUCAGUUUCGCAAACGUUAACUAACAAUGUUAAGAAAUAGGCCUUCGGGUCUCAUGGCUCACCUGAACAGUUCAAUGGGUUAUUGUUGCAAUCUAUAACAUUUUUGUCAAGAAACUUUUAAGAAGACAUCUUGAACAAAAGUUGUUCAGUUUUGCAAGAUCUUUCGAACAACAUCAUGAAAAAGGCUAACGGGCCUCAUGGCUCGCCUGAACAGUUUCAUCAGUGUCACAAUUACUAACUUUUUUCUCGAGAAUCUUUUGAUAAGACAUGUGGGACAAAAGUUGUUCAGUUUUGCAAGAUCUUUCAAACGAUAUCAAGAAAAAGGCCCACGGGCCUUAUGACUCGCCUUAACAGUCUGAUAAAUGUCGCAUAACUUUAUACUCGUAAAUAUUUUGUUUAGAGAUAUAUAACAAAAGUUGUACAGUUUAUUGAGGUCUUUCGUGUCGUAUCCAGAAAUGGGCCAAUGGACCUCAUGGCUCGCCUGAACCAUUGAAUUUCUGUUACAAUGAUUAACUUUUUCCUCACGAAACUUUGAUAAAACAUGUAGAAUAAAAGUUGUUCAGUUUUACAAGUUCUAUCUAAUGAUAUAAAAAAGUCCUCCGUGCGUCAUGGCUCGCCUGAACAGUGGAAUUUGUAUCACAAUUAAUAACAUUAAUAACUUUUUUCUCGACAAACUUUUGACAAGACAUGUAGAACAAAAGUUGUUCAGUUUCGCAAGGGUUAACUAAUGAUGUUAAUAAAUAGGCCUGCGGAUCUCAUGGCUCACCUGAACAUUUGGGUUAUUGUUGCAAUCUAUAACAUUUUAGUCAAGACUCUUUUAAUGAGACAUCAAGAAAAAGGCCCACGGGCCUUAUGACUCGCCUUAACAAUCAGAUAAAUGUCGCAAUCAAUAACUUUUUUCUCAAGAAAAUUUUGAUAGGAGAUGUAGAGCAAAAUUUGUUCAGUUUUGCGAGAUAUAUCUAGAAUGAUAUAUAUAUUUAAAAAAAAAAAAAUAGGCCUCCGGCCGACAUGACUCGCCUGAUCAGUCGAAUUUGUAUCGCAGUAAAUAACAUUAUUAACUUUUUUCUCGAAAAAAGGCUGAUCUCUUUAAUUAGUGGCCGAGAGGGGCAGAGAGUCUUUAAUUUAUAACACUUAAAUGAUUAAUAUUUGUAAAACAUUACUGAAGCUAAAUUGUACGUUUAGACAAUAUAUUUGUAUCAUUAUUUAUGAACGAAAAUCUCAGUCAAAUUCUUAUCUCAUCACAUAUAAAAUUGGACGGAAGACCCACUCGUUGCUCGCAACGAGAUCGCAUCUAGUUAUUAUUAUUAUUCUUUUUUUUUCUCCUUACCGAUUUUGUGCAGAAGAUUUCUCGGAGAUGGCUGGAUCGAUUUGCUUCAAAUUUUCAGGGUUGAUGCGUUGCCAUUUGAAGUUUGUACCGCAGUUUCAAUUUUUAAAAAAUCACUUCCGGUUAGAAGUUAUCCUCCUUUUAUCGAUUUUCAGAUGACCAUUUUGUCCAGACAAAAACUCAAAAACGACAUAAGCUAGAGUGCUGAAAUUUUCAGUGAUGUUAGACGACAUGUUGUAGUUGUGCACCUGGGUUUUCAAAAUUUCCGGAAGUGCCUAGUAUGGAAGCUCGGUAGGGUCGAAAAUGGAGUUUAGAAAAGUGCCCAAUUUUUUUCCACGUUUUAAAUCAUAACUUUUUACUCGUAAAUAUUUUGUUUAGACAUAUAUAACAAAAGUUGUACAGUUUAUUGAGAUCUUUCGUGCCAUAUCAAGAAAUGGGCCCGUGGGCCUCAUGGCUCGCCUGAACCAUUGAAGUUUUGUUACAAUGAUUAACUUUUUUCUCACGAAACUUUUGAUAAGACAUGUAGAAUAAAAGUUGUUCAGUUUUGCAAGAUCUAUCUAAUGAUAUCAAAAAAUAGGCCUGCGGGCGUCAUGGCUUGCCUGAACAGUCGAAUUUGUAUCACAAUUAAUAACAUUAAUAACUUUUUUCUCGAGAAACUUUUGACAAGACAUGUAGAACAAAAGUUGUUCAGUUUCGGAAGCGUUAACUAACGAUCUUAAGAAAUAGGCAUGCGGGUCUCAUGGCUCACCUGAACAGUUGGGUUAUUGUUGCAAUCUAUAACAUUUUUGUCAAGAAACUUUUAAUAAGACAUAUAGAACAAAAGUUGUUCAGUUUUGCAAGAUCGUUCGAACAACAUCAUGAAAAAGGCGAACGGGCCUCAUGGCUCGCCUGAACAGUUUGAUUAGUGUCACAAUUACUAACUUUUUUCUCGAGAAUCUUUUGAUAAGACAUGUAGAACAAAAGUUGUUCAGUUUCGGAAGUGUUAACUAACGAUGUUAAGAAAUAGGCCUGCGGGUCUCAUGGCUCACCUGAACAGUUGGGUUAUUGUUGCAAUCUAUAACAUUUUUGUCAAGAAACUUUUAAUAAGACAUCUAGAACAAAAGUUGUUCAGUUUUGCAAGAUCUUUCGAACAACAUCAUGAAAAAGGCGAACGGGCCUCAUGGCUCGCCUGAACAGUUUGAUUAGUGUCACAAUUACUAACUUUUUUCUCGAGAAUCUUUUGAUAAGACAUGUAGAACAAAAGUUGUUCAGUUUUGCAAGAUCUUUCAAACGAUAUCAAUAAAAAGGCCCACGGGCCUUAUGACUCGCCUUAACAGUCUGAUAAAUGUCGCAAUCAAUAAUUUUUUUCAAAAGAAAAUUUUGAUAAGACAUGUAGAACAAAAUUUGUUCAGUUCUGCUAGAUAUAUCUAGAAUGACAUUAAAAAAAUAGGCCUCCGGGCGACAUGACUCGCCUGAUCAGUCGAAUUUGUAUCGCAGUAAAUAACAUUAUUAACUUUAAGGCUGACCCCUUUAAUUAGUGGCCGAGAGGGGCAGAGAGUCUUUAAUUUGUAACACUUAAAUGAUCAAUAUUUGUAAAACAUUACCGAAGCUAAAUUGUACGUCUAGACAAUAUAUUUGUAUCAUUAUUUAUGAACGAAAAUCUCAGUCAAAUUCUUAUCUCAUCACAUCUAAAUUUGGAUGGAAGACCCACUCAUUGCUCGCAACGAGAUCACAUCUAGUUCUUAUUAUUAUUUUCUUCUUAUUAUUCCUCUUCUUUAGUGAGAAAUUUGUCCGACCGAUUUUGUGAAAGUGCUUUGACAGAUCCACUUCAAACUUUGUGAGCUGAUAGGUGGUCACUAGGAGGGGUGCAUUCAACUUUUCAAAUUUUCAAAAUGGCCGCCGUUUCAAGAUGGCGGCCAAAAAACGUCAAAAACUCUAGGUUGUCGGAUUUCAACCAAAUUCUAUUUCUAGGGUAAUUUAGUGACCCCGAGUCCAUUUCCACCAUCAAAAUUUUUUUUUGAGCCGCCAUUUUCAAAAUGGCCGCCAUAUACCGAAAUAUUUGAAAGUGUUAAAAUCUCUACAAAAUUUGGGUUCUGGGGUCAAUUGAGGGUCCACAAUUCAUUUCUAGCAUCAGUAUUUCCUUCCAAUCAAUUUUCAAAUGUUUCAAAAUGGCCGCCAUUGAAGAAAAUGGCGGCCAAAAAUCAAGUCCGUCGGAUUUCAACCAAAUUCAGUUUCUAGAGUUCUUUGAGGAUCCUGAGUGCAUAUCUGGCAUCAAGAACCAUUUCUGACAUGGGGAGGUGUUCGGAGACAUUUGUGUUGGCAUCCCAACACAGUUAUAGCUCGUUAUUCUUAUUUUCUUCUUCUUAUUAUUAUUCCUCUUCUUUCCGAGAAAUUUGUCCGCUCGAUUGUAUGAAAGUGGUUUGACAGAUCCACUUCAAACUUUGUGAGCUGAUAGGGGGUCACUAGGAGGGGUGCAUUCAACUUUUCAAAUUUUCAAAAUGGCCGCCAUUUCAAGAUGGCGGCCAAAAAACGUCAAAAACUCAAGGUUGUCGGAUUUCAACCAAAUUCUAUUUCUAGGGUAAUUUAGUGACCCCAAGUCCAUUUUCAUAAUCAAAAUUUUUUUUU